rnacentral:lncRNA from 1 species
UGUUUUUUACAAUUAACUUAAAAACUAAAAUAACAAAACUUUUAAUAAUAUUUAUUUUGAAUUAUUACACUUAUCUUAAUUUUUAAAUAAUAUCAAAAUCUGUAUUAAUAAAACAAUCAAAAUUAUGAACAUAUUUAUUUUUUUAAGUAAGAUAUUUAACAUCAUCGAACACCGGCGAACGAUCUAGAACAUUUAUAUCGUUUAAUGUUCCCAGACAUCCAAAAAGGCAUGUCAAAUUCAUAGAUCAUGACAUGCAACUGCUUCAAGUAUAACCGUGGUGGUUCCCUUAUCUCCCCGAGUAAAUUGACCUUCCCAUGCUGUUGGAAAAUUUUUCCAUUCCCAAUGCAUGCAAUUAAUACUCCCGAUCAUCCCUGGAAACCCCCUCACCUCGCUGACAUUCAUCUUGAGUUGGAGCUCUGAGAUACUCUUGCUCAUACAACUGUGUGAUUCCUUUACAGAAACGGGGCAGGCACUCCAAUACUGUAGUACCUCCUAUUUUGAUAUAU